CGGGUGCUGAGGGCAAGCGCUUCCUCCUGGAGCUCACGGUUUCUCCUGUUACACUGCUCCAGUUCAGCGCAUUUGGUGCGGAGCGUGUCCUGCCAUCUUUCCUCCUCUGCCUUCACAGCAGAGGACACCUGGGAGCAGGGGGCUGCUUUUGUACUCGGGGAGAGAGGUCAAGUCCUGGAGCCAUCGAGAACGAGCCCUUGAUAUCGCACCUUCAACCUAGACAAGGCAGAACUGAUUAGAAACGGUAAAACCUGACAAAAUGAGAUA